AUGAGGACGGCGUUGUCGCUUCUCUCCUUCCUCGCCGUCUCAGUGCUUAUCCUCGCCCCCAUGGCGAUGGCGGACGGCUACAGCCAGCCGCAAGACUACCAGCCGCCGGCCUACAGGAAGCCCGCGGACGGCCUUGCCGCCGGAUACUACGGCGAGUCGUGCCCCGACAUGGAGGGCAUCGUCCAGAGGGCCGUCAAGAAGGCCUUCGCCGCAGACUACACCAUCGCCGCGGGCCUCAUCCGCCUCUUCUUCCACGACUUUGCCGUCGGGGGGUGCGACGCGUCGAUCCUGAUAGACGCGCCGGGGAGCGAGAAGUACGCCGCGGCGAGCAAGACGCUCCGGGGCUUCGAGCUCAUCGAGGCCAUCAAGACGGAGCUGGAGGCCAAGUGCCCCAAGACCGUCUCCUGCGCCGACAUCCUCACCGCCGCCACCCGCGACGCCAGCAGGGAGGUGGGAGUGAGCUACUGGCCGCUCGUGUACGGCCGCAAGGACGGCCGCCAGUCCCGCAAAGAGGCCGCCGACAAGUACGUGCCCAUGGGCCGCGAGAGCGUCACAGACCUCGUCGCCUUCUUCGAGUCCAUGGGCCUAAACGUCCGCGACCUCGUCGUCCUCUCCGGCGCGCACACCAUCGGCAAGGCCAGCUGUGCCGCCGUGAAGCCGCGUCUGUGCAAGAGCAAGCCGGAGACGCUGGACGGCAAGUACGGCGACUUCCUGAGGCGCAAGUGCCGCCGCGGCGACGCGGAGCACGAGCGAGUGGAGCUUGACGGCGUCAGGCCCACGGCGUUCGAUAACGGCUACUACAAGAACCUGGAGCGCAGGAUGGGACUCCUGGAGACGGACCAGAAGAUGCUCCAUGACUCCCGGACCAGGAGCUUCGUCCAGGAAAUGGCCCGAGAGCCCGAGGAAUUCAAGCGCCAAUUCGCCGAGUCCAUGCGCUGGCUCGGCAACGUGCAGGUCCUCACCGGCAGCGAGGGCGAGGUUCGAUCCAAGUGCUCCGCCGUCAACUACUGA
rnacentral:rRNA from 1 species